rnacentral:rRNA from 1 species
AUGGGCAACUGCUGUGUUGCCCGGCCAUCUUUCAAGCGGCGUGGCGGUGGCUCUCCCAGGCAACGCGGCGGACGCCUAGGAGGCGCCAACCUCCGGUGCCUCUCCACGGUGUCCUCAGUCACUGACACCCCGCGUGCCACGGCCCAGCCGCCUGUAACCGUGCUUGGCAAGGGCCUGGCCGCGGCCGACAACACCGAGGAGCUCCUCCAGCGGUACCAGCUUGGCGAGGAGCUGGGGCGCGGCGAGUUUGGGGUGACGCGACGCUGCAUGGACGCGGCAACGGGAGACAAGCUCGCAUGCAAGUCGAUCAGCAAGCGGAAGCUCCGGAGCAGCGUCGACAUCGAGGACGUGCGGCGCGAGGUAGCCAUCAUGCGGUCGCUGCCCUCGCAUGUAAACGUCGUGCGGCUCCGUGAGGCGUUCGAGGACGGCGACUCCGUGCACCUGGUCAUGGAGGUGUGCGAGGGGGGCGAGCUCUUCGACCGCAUCGUCGUGCGCGGUCACUACACCGAGCGUGCUGCCGCCGCUGUCAUGCGCACUAUCAUGGAGGUCGUGCAGCAUUGCCACCAGAACGGUGUUAUGCACCGGGACCUUAAGCCUGAGAAUUUCUUGUACGCCAAUGCAUCUGAGAGCUCCCCUCUCAAGGUUAUCGACUUCGGACUCUCCGUGUGCUUCAAGCCAGGUGAAAGAUUCAGUGAGAUCGUCGGAUCUCCCUAUUACAUGGCGCCUGAAGUCCUGAAGAGAAACUAUGGACAGGAAAUCGACAUUUGGAGUGCAGGCGUCAUAUUGUAUAUCUUGCUAUGUGGUGUCCCUCCAUUCUGGGCCGAAACGGACGAAGGGAUUGCGCAGGCCAUCAUCCGAUCACACAUCGACUUCGAGCGCGAGCCUUGGCCGAAGGUGUCAGACAACGCCAAGGAUCUUGUUAGCAGGAUGCUUGAAAACAACCCUCAUGCCAGAUUGACGGCUCAACAAGUUUUAGAGCAUCCAUGGAUACAAAAUUCCACCGCUGCUCCAAACAUUCCUCUUGGCGAAGCAGUAAGGUCAAGGCUAAAGCAAUUCACUGUCAUGAACAAGUUCAAGAAGAAGGCCUUGCUUGUGGUGGCGGAAUACUUGCCUGCUGAAGAGCUGGAGGCAAUCACGGAACUGUUCCACAUGCUGGACACUAACAAGGAUGGGCACCUGACAAUUGAGGAGCUCAGGAAAGGUCUACAAAUGAUAGGGAACAAUGUCCAUGAUACAGAUGUGGAUAUGCUCAUGGAAGCCGCGGACUUAGAUGGAAAUGGCACCUUGGACUGCAAGGAGUUUGUCACGGUCUCCAUUCACCUGAAGAAAAUCCGCAGCGAGGAACACCUCCCCAAGGUGUUCAAUUACUUCGACAAGAACAUGAGCGGGUUCAUCGAGAUGGAAGAGCUCAAGGAAGCGCUAUCCCCAAGAGGCGACCAGAAGGCCAUCGAGGAGAUCAUCUUCGACGUUGACAUUGACAAGGAGUUCGAGUUGAUGAUGAAAGCUGGAGUGGACUGGAGGAACGCAUCACGACAGUACUCGAGAGCAGUUUUCAAUACCCUCAGCCGCAAGAUGUUCAAGGACGUGUCCCUAAAGCUUGAUCCUAGCGGCCCGCUAGGUGGUGCUGGGAAAGAACAACAGGACAUUAUCUAA